GUGUUAGGAGGAUUGAUUCUGACCUGUUCCUCCUGCAGGAAGGCAGAUUGGAACAUGAUGAUUGGAGGUGACAUGAUAUGUGAUUAACAUUCUGCAUGAUCAGGACAUGCAACACCCUGACUGCUCCAAGGACCUCAU
rnacentral:snoRNA from 1 species